ensembl:lncRNA
GCAAGAAACCACACGCUCUCACACAAUAAGCAUAUGUCAAGCAGGAAAACAGGGACGUGGGGGCGGGAGGUGGGGGCGGGGUGGAGGAUAAGAUGAGCCCAGGCCAGCAGGGUGCGGGCGCGCCGGCUCUGGGCCCUGACCCCAGGGGCUUACCUGUCUUGGGUCCAUGGCGCGCCCCAGGCAUGUUCCGGUGCCCGCCCGCAGCCAGCAGCGCGACCCUCCGCAGCUGGACCUUUCCCAGGGCAGGCCGUGGGCCUCCCAGACGCAGGGGGCGCCUCUGGAGUCGACUCAAGCCCCGGGAGCAGGGAGCUGGGAGCUUCAAGCCGGGAGCAGGACUGGGAAAUGGCUCCGGUUCAAUUUCACUUUCGUUUCUUCAAACGGACCUCCCUCUUUGGAAAGUUUGGCCGAGGGGCGGGGCUUGCGCAAAGGAGCACGAGAAAGUCUGGUUUCACUCCGAUUACAAGUUUAAUCCUUUCCUUGCAUGAGAACUGGGCAAGAUACGCUUUCUUUAGAAAAACAGCUAUAAAAUACUGAGCUCAUAAACCCCUCAUGGCUGUCUCAGGAAUACACGGGAUAAAGCAAACUGAGAACAAAGCCCCCCUGCGAAGCCUAGCACUGGAGAAAAGAGUCUGGGGCUGUUUUCUUACUCCCAGAUCCUAAGAUGACCGCGUGUCUCUAAAGUGGAAGGGGGGCCCAAAGCUCUUCAGGUGACUGACUGUCCUCACUGAACUAUUUACCCAUACUUGAGCAUAUUAACUGAUGUUGUUGCAGUUAAAAUAACGGAAAAGGUCUUUUUUCCCUUGCCCUGAGUUUUUUUUUUUUUUUAACUGUUUCUGAUCAGUAGUCAAUAACCAAGACUAACCUGAUUUGUAAAUUAAAUCCUGUACCUCAGACCUUGCAGGAGCUACCUUCUGCAUCUGUUAUCUUUUAACUCUAUGCUAAUCACAUCCUGUGUUUGGUGCUCACCUUUCUAGCACUCUUUUUGCAGACCACUCCUUGUAGUUCUUCUUUUUUUUUUUUUUUUUGCAUUACAGAAAGGAGGCCACAGUACAAGUCAAGAAAGACUAUGGACCCAACAACUGGGCUACCAGACAGCAGCCAAUGACAGUGCAAGAGGAAGAAUACAAGACCCUUACACCUUUGCUCUUCAUCGCUGACCCCUGACUGUGAGCCUCAUCCAUGGAAUCCAGAUUCCUCCUAGAAGCGGAGCACAGUUCUUGAAGAACAAGCCUACUCUGCUCUCCCACUGGCUGAGGAUUAAAGCCACCUUUCUAUUUCCUCCAAACUCUGUCUCUGUAUUUUUUAUUUGNNNNNNNNNNNNNNNNNNNNNNNNNNNNNNNNNNNNNNNNNNNNNNNNNNNNNNNNNNNNNNNNNNNNNNNNNNNNNNNNNNNNNNNAUCAGCAACUGACUUAAGGAUCUACAUCACAAAACCAUCUCACCUUCAGCAUCCAUCCAGGCAAGGGUGAAGUCCUUUACAUGCCUCAUCUCUUUUUUUGGCAAGCUCCUGCAGUGGAAGUGGGAGUCUUAACCACUGGACAGCUAGGGAAGUCCCACCUUAUCUCCUUAAUCUUCACAACAACUCCGCAAGGUGGGGGCAUGAUUCCCAAAUUACAGAUGUGGAAAUGGAGGCUCCACCAGGGCCAUGCUGCUGCUAAAUCCAGGUCUGACUGCAGAAAGUCACUCUUCUACACUCUAUCAUGUUACAUGAUGGCUUUCAAAAAGAUAACUUUUGUUGCCAAUUGAUUUCAUGAUCAGGCUUAUAUACCUGCUCUAUUUUGUCCAAGAUGUCUAGGAAAAGAUCAGUUCUAAUGCUCAACAGCUCUCUUCCCCGCUCACCUGUGAGAAUUCUCUUUUUCUGUAUUUCAUUUCAAUUUUAUCCCCACUGUGUGAGUGAAAAAUAUUGCCUGCUGUAUCAGUUAAGCAAAGGACGUUGCAGCUAUCAAGCCAUCACAUUAGAGCUAUCCCAAUAGUGAGCCCUGAGGGAACUCAGGCUAAAAACAAUGCCCACCAUCCAAUCAUCCAACUCUGCAGCCCUCUCCUCCAAGUCAAGGAGGAAACUCAGGAUAAGAAAACACAGGCUAUAUCCAGUUUUCUUUAAUUAACAAUAAUUUCUUGAUGUUCUGACUACCUGGUCUUUGUUAAAAUAACUCAUAUAUAUCCUGGCACCUCCCUUAUCUCUGGAGCAGUCUCAGAGUUAUCUGAGAGGCCGUGUCCUAGGCUUAAAUCCUCAGUUUUGUCCACUGAAUAAAACACAACUCUCAACUUUUAGGUUGUGCAUUUUUUUCAGUGGACACUGCUUAUAAGAUUUACAAGGCAGUCCCUUCACAGCACUGUCUCGCCCUUUCUCGCCAUCCUCUCAUUCCAUUGCCUGAGUCGGUGCGAGCUGCGCCCCCCCACACCCCACAACUUCACAUUUCUGGUGUAGUGCUCCUUCCCUGCCAAUGCCUUUGUGCAUUCUAGUCUAGCCUUAAAUAUACUUCCUCCACAGCUUCUGGUGAAAGUCUUUCAAGAUCUGCUUCAGAUAUUAUCUCCAAGGGAAGCUUUGCCCCACUUUCGGUGGGGGAGGGGCUGCAAUUCGUGGUUCCUUAUUUUGUGCUUCUCUCUUACUUAACACUUACCCCUACUAGAGCACUUUCACCAUCCUCUGAAAAUGCCUCUUCUUCAUUCAUUCAACAGAGACUUCACUAAACACCCAACACAUGUCACACACUGUGCUAAGCACUAAGGACAUGAGACAAAUAAGAGUCCUGCCCCUUCAGCUAACAGUCAGUCUGGUGGGGGAGACCAAUGUUUCACACGAUCAUCACAAUGUUAUGAACUACGUGUUUAUAUAUCAGCCUUUAGAGCUGUAAGGUCUUCUCCUGGGGCAGGGAACUCCCCACAUUCCCUGACAGUGGCCUUCAGGGGGCUGAUAGUUGACUGAAUGACAGACUGCUCUGCAGAAAAAGCAAUGGGCAAAACAGCGGCACACGAAUGUCACAGAGGAAGUUAAAACAUCAGUACACACAAGAGACAGUGCUCUAUCUCAUCACAUUGAGGAAAUGCGAAGCCAAGCCUUGGUGAGUUACUGUCCAUUAUCAAAUAAGCACUUUAGCAGCUGAUGAGAGCGCAGGAGAGCAAGGGUGCAGAACAGCUCCUAGUUAUGACAGGACACCUGGGAAAGCUGUGAAUCUCCACACCCCACAAUUCAGCAAUUUCACUCCUAGACCAGGACACACAUACAACAAGCUGGUAGUUGCAUUAUUUAUAGUCGUUCCCAACCUGAAACCACCCAAAUGCUCUUCAAAAGGAAAAUGGAUAAAUGGUGACAUCUGCCUAUGAGAGAAUACCAUACAGCAACAAAAAGGAAAGAACUAUAACCACAUGCAACAGGGUGGUUAACCAUCUAAACAUGAUAGUUAGUGAAAGAAGCCAUAUACAUAUGACAGGGUUCCACUUAUAAGUCCCAAGUGAGAAAAAACAACUAUAGUAUACUCUGCAUCAAAGACAGGAUGGUGGUUAUCUCUAGGGUAGGAAGGAGAGGUUUUGACUAGAAAGGAAUGUUCUGGGUGCCGCUGAUAUUCUAAUUCUUAAUGUGGGUGGUGGCUACAUACAUGGCUUUCCAAUAAUUCAUUAAGGCAUACACUGAUGCUUUAUGCACCUUUCUGUAGGUAUGUGCUGUNNNNNNNNNNNNNNNNNNNNNNNNNNNNNNNNNNNNNNNNNNNNNNNNNNNNNNNNNNNNNNNNNNNNNNNNNNNNNNNNNNNNNNNNNNNNNNNNNNNCAUACACUGAUGCUUUAUGCACCUUUCUGUAGGUAUGUGCUGUACUUCACAAGUUUAAAAGGUUAAGAACAACAGCAAACUCUUCCUGUAGCAAUUCCAGUGUCUUCUCUUUUUCAUUUAAGUAAAAUGAGUUAUGUCUCACCUCUGCUUUCUUGCCUUCAAGCUAAACAAUCCCAAGAAUCAUCACCUUCCACAAGAAUCAUCCAGAAAAGCACUCAUCACAGCUACUGUGCAGGGAAGCUGCAUCGCUGUUGCCUCCAUGGCUUUGAAUCGAACCCAGGAUGCAAGGGGGAAGCCGGAAGGCGAAAUUUGUUUCCUGAACAGAGAGUCAGUGUAUGCCUUGAAAGAACAACUGCUCUUGUCACUUAAUCUCAGCAGCUCAAGUAACUGCAAACAGUCUUAUUCAUAAAUAUUUCAUCUCUUUGCCCUCAGUGAUUGUUUCAGCUCCCAGAGGGUCGUGAGGUGGUGACAUCAGUCUUUGUGCUGUUCUAUUGUAGGGGCCUGGCGAGUUGGAUGAAGUUCUUUUAAAAAGUAACCUAAAGUAUUAAUUAAUAACACUUUAACUGCAGUUAAUUUUCUUGUUGAUUGCAAGAAAAUUAGAGAUGAGCAAACAUGGUCAAGUGUGAAAGUAUUAGUCGCUCAGUCGUGUCUGACUCUUUGCGACCCCAUGGACUGUAGCCNNNNNNNNNNNNNNNNNNNNNAUUCUCCAGGCAAGAAUGCUAGAGUGGGUUGACAUUCCCUUCUCCAGGGGAUCUUCCUGACGCAGGGAUCAAAUCCAGCUCUCCUGCACUGUAGGCAGAUUCUUUACCAUCUGAGCCACCGGUGAAGCCCACAUGUGGUCAAAGCUACCCCUAAAUCUCCACUGUUAAUUCACCAGUGCUCACCCUUGCUGUUUCCCCUGUGUUUCCAGGCUCCAUGGACACAUAUAUGCAGCUCUCCUGACACAGGUGCCUACCUCCCCAGGAGCUUGCCAUUAUCUGCUGCCUGGCAGUAGCCCCAAAUGCAGGACCUCCUGUGAACAUACUGCCUAAGGUUACUUGCUAACAACUGCCUAAGUGAUAAGAGUUACUGUCUAGAAUUAGGUAUUACUCCAAAAGCCCUCAUUCAGUGUCCUCAGAAAUCUGGCUUCCACAUAACACUGACAAGCUCUGGCUCCAUGUGCGCCUUUGGGGGCCUGGCCUUGCCCAGUUAUCGGGAAGGACGUGUUAUCAUCUGGACUACUGGGUUGGUUUUUGUUUCCAGACCCUGCUACUCUUGUUUUUGAACUAUACAGUGACUAGUGAAGUCGCUCAGUCGUGUCC